AUGUGGAACGCCCUGUGGAAACUCAAAGUGAUCUCAAAGGUACGAGCGUUCUGGUGGAGGGUACUACGAGGGAUUCUACCAGAUGAAUGCACUCUCAAGUAUCGCCAUAUUGCAGUCUUAGACACUUGCAAAGUGUGUCUGGCUAAGGAGGAGGACCUCAUGCAUGCUCUUAUUCAAUGCUCCCAUGCACGUCGCUUCUGGGAUGAAGCUUGUGCCUGGUUUGGCCUGCGGCUUCCUCGCUUACACCCACGUUCUUGGGCCAGAGAUAUUCUAUGUGGAGAUCGGUUCAAGGAUGAAGAUCGAGCAAAGGUAAUCACCAUCAUGUGGACAAUCUGGCAUUCUCAUAACCGGAUCAAGCAUGGCAAAGAGGGAAGGGACCCAACAGCCGCUAUCAGGUCGACUAGGGAGGCCCUUGCGCUGCUGGAACUGCCCCGGAAUACACCUAGUGUACUACCAAGUCAUGGCUGGCGGCCGCCUGAGCCAGGCAUGAUCAAGAUCACGACGGAUGGCACACUUAACAUCGCGGAAGGUAGAGGAGGUGCGGGUGGCAUAGCCUGCUCGGCGUCCAUGUUAUUGGGAGCAUGGAGCAAACCGUUCGACGAUAUUUGA
rnacentral:rRNA from 1 species